UGAGUUGAGGAACUAGUGAAUUUGCCAGCAAUAUGAUUUUUGAGACUCAUUGCAGUAUCGUCAAACUUUCAAUACCGAAAUGUAAAGCCCGUCUGUGAUUACACUAAGUAAAAUGAUACAAGCAAAAUGUUUAAUUGUAUCGCCAGAUUCCAAAACACGAGAUUUGUUUGACUACUGAGAUGUGAUAACUAAGUUAUAAUUGGUCAAAACAUUUUACAUAUUUAAAGAAAAAAUAAAAAUUGUUUCACGUAUAUUAUAGCAAUGAGUGUAUCAUUCUGUAGAACGAGUUCACAUUGAAUUUACAAACAUUAACUAUCUUAUGAUUGACUAAAACUAAACAUUGUACAAGAUUCUUAUAAAUUAUUAUAAGUUAAAAAUUUUAAAUAACACUUAGAAAUAUUACAGAAAAGAAUUUAUCGUCCAAUUGCAGGUAAAGUCAGUGAUGGUGAUCACGGAAGGUGAUAAUUUUUGUCAAUACUUCCAAAAACAUUUUUUCUCUUCAGUAAAACUUGCCGGAAUCGAUACGACAGAAUGUGACAUGAAAAUAGUAAGGAGGUCCAAGACCCCCCAAUCGUGGAUCGAAAAAAUAUAUUUAUUUCAGAUCAUGGGCCACAAAAUUUCGUAAGAUGCUUGGUCUAUUCACAUAUCUCGUUUAUGCCUUAGCCACAAUUUGAAAAUCUUUAUUAACAUAUUUUUUGAAAUGCAAAUGGUACAGUACAGUAUAAUAAGAGCUAGGCGCCUUAAACGAAUGAUGGGGUCAAUUAUAAUAUUUGUUAAAUUUUAUUAAAUUUUCA